UACGAAGGGGGCGAGCGUUGUUCGGAUUUACUGGGCGUAAAGGGCGCGUAGGCGGCGCCGGAAGUCGGGUGUGAAACCCCCAGGCUCAACCUGGGGACGCCACCCGAUACUGCUGUGGCUAGAGUCCAGUAGGGGAGUGUGGAAUUCCCGGUGUAGCGGUGAAAUGCGCAGAUAUCGGGAGGAACACCAGCGGCGAAGGCGGCACUCUGGGCUGGUACUGACGCUGAGGAGCGAAAGCGUGGGUAGCAAACAGG
rnacentral:rRNA from 1 species